AUUGAACGCUGGCGGCAUGCCUUACACAUGCAAGUCGAACGGUAACAGGUCUUCGGAUGCUGACGAGUGGCGAACGGGUGAGUAAUACAUCGGAACGUGCCUAGUAGUGGGGGAUAACUACUCGAAAGAGUGGCUAAUACCGCAUGAGAUCUACGGAUGAAAGCAGGGGAUCGCAAGACCUUGUGCUACUAGAGCGGACGAUGGCAGAUUAGGUAGUUGGUGGGAUAAAAGCUUACCAAGCCGACGAUCUGUAGCUGGUCUAAGAGGACGAUCAGCCACACUGGGACUGAGACACGGCCCAGACUCCUACGGGAGGCAGCAGUGGGGAAUUUUGGACAAUUGGCGCAAGCCUGAUCCAGCAAUGCCGCGUGCAGGAUGAAGGCCUUCGGGUUGUAAACUGCUUUUGUACGGAACGAAAAGCCCUGGGUUAAUACCCUGGGGUCAUGACGGUACCGUAAGAAUAAGCACCGGCUAACUACGUGCCAGCCGCCGCGGUAAAAC
rnacentral:rRNA from 1 species